GACGAACCGUGCGAACGUUGUUCGGAAUCACUGGGCAUAAAGGGCGCGUAGGCGGUGCGUCAAGUCUUGGGUGAAAUCUUUCGGCUCAACCGGAAAAGUGCCUGAGAUACUGACGCGCUAGAGGGAGAUAGGGGUCUUGGGAACUACCAGUGGAGCGGUGAAAUGCGUUGAGAUUGGUAGGAACGCCGGUGGCGAAAGCGCAAGACUGGGUCUCUUCUGACGCUGAGGCGCGAAAGCCAGGGGAGCAAACGGG
rnacentral:rRNA from 1 species